CGGUAGCCUACACAUGCNAGUCGAACGGCAGCACAGAGGAGCUUGCUCCUUGGGUGGCGAGUGGCGGACGGGUGAGGAAUACAUCGGAAUCUACUCUGUCGUGGGGGAUAACGUAGGGAAACUUACGCUAAUACCGCAUACGACCUACGGGUGAAAGCAGGGGAUCUUCGGACCUUGCGCGAUUGAAUGAGCCGAUGUCGGAUUAGCUAGUUGGCGGGGUAAAGGCCCACCAAGGCGACGAUCCGUAGCUGGUCUGAGAGGAUGAUCAGCCACACUGGAACUGAGACACGGUCCAGACUCCUACGGGAGGCAGCAGUGGGGAAUAUUGGACAAUGGGCGCAAGCCUGAUCCAGCCAUACCGCGUGGGUGAAGAAGGCCUUCGGGUUGUAAAGCCCUUUUGUUGGGAAAGAAAUCCAGCUGGCUAAUACCCGGUUGGGAUGACGGUACCCAAAGAAUAAGCACCGGCUAACUUCGUGCCAGCAGCCGCGGUAAU
rnacentral:rRNA from 1 species